CUCCAUAGUGGGACAGAUGGCCUCUGGGGUUCCUGAAGUCACAAUGAAGAUGCCUUGAACCAUGUGGGGAGUUUGGGUGAUGCACUGAGCCCUUGGAACUGUCAGGAGAAAGAGUGAAGUUUUGGGAGGAAGUCAACUCUGCUGUCCUUGGUAGAGACACUUCCGCUUCUGGUAACGAUGAAAGAGUGGAACUUGCUUGGUCAAUGACUGAAAAAGUUUAAUCAACGGG
rnacentral:lncRNA from 1 species